GGUCAAGAAUCCUCAGCUCAGGGACUCAGAGCCCCAGGUAGCAGCAAGAAGCCUGAGCUUAGCCAUAAACUGCAAUUGUGCAGCACUUCCACAUACCUGGAGGUGGAAACUCUACUUCUCCCAGCAUUGUCGGCUUGACCCUCUCCAUGCCCCCUUCCGGUCCGCUGUGCAGUAUCCUUCACCCUGCAAGGUUGCUUUGAUGGAUGUGCCCCCACCUGGCCCAUACUAUGGAAGUGUUUAAAGGUACAGCUGUGUAAGCAAAAGAACCUGAGACAGAGACUCAAAAGAUGGAAGCCUGACUCCUCAUUUCUUCCCAGCCAGUUUAUCUGCAGGGACUAUUCCAGGGAACAUUAGCAACAUUAAAUGGAGGAUCAAAUCUGACUUUUUCUGCCCCUCCAGAAGACAUACAACUUCCUAAAGGCUGCUCUUCAAGUGAGGAAAGGUGAAACAGAGAGAAAGAAACUGAGGAAGGGUUCCUAAGACCGAGCCUCUCCAUCAUAGGAAGCAAGACUUUUCUUGAAAAAUUAGAUCUGGGCCCCUAGAUAUUCACCUGACAACAAUCAGCUGGACCAAGAAAACCACCGAGUAAAUA